rnacentral:lncRNA from 1 species
UCCGUGCAGGCAGGUGCGGUCUGGCACCUCGGGAUCCCAACGGGUGGCCGCCUGCGUGGCUGCCUGCCUCACCUCAGGAGAGACCCUGCUGAUAUCCCACAGUCAGAAAGUGGGAACUACAAUAUCUUUAAUACCAUCCUCAGAGACCCUCAUAAGCAGAAGAGAAGUAUGAGAAAGCUCACAAGGUCCACAGCAAUAUCUUCAUCGCGCCAGAAUGUCAGGGGCUUUAGCACAACAGAAAUCAAUAGUUUCUAGUACAUUUUUUGGUACAAUUUUUUUUUAAUGACCUAACCUGAGAAAGUACAGGGAAGGCAGAGGUACAGAACAGUAGGAAACAAAACCUCCUUAACCGAAGGCCUAUUUAGACAUGUCAUGCAACGUCAGUUUAGGAGAGACGCGUUCUUUAUCUGAGCCACACAACCGGGCAGCUGGAGCGAGGUCUUGGUCCUGGAGUGCUUUCGGUCAUAGAGAUGAGGUCUCCCUGUGUUGCCCAGACUGGACUUGAAC